CAGGGAGACAACAAAAUGUUUAAUAUUAUUAUUUUGUCACCUUAGGUCGAUCGGUAUCUCACGUUCUUAAUUCGUUAAGAAUUUCAUUUCCUAAGUUUUUCUAGGUCACACCCAUUAUUUUUCCUGGGCCAUUAGCUCAGGUGGUUAGAGCGCACCCCUGAUAAGGGUGAGGUCCCUGGUUCAAGUCCAGGAUGGCCCAUAUCUCUAUGUUGGGGGUAUAGCUCAGUUGGUAGAGCGCCUGCUUUGCAAGCAGGAUGUCAGCGGUUCGAGUCCGCUUACCUCCACUGAUUACCACCUCUUCCAUAACCGGUAGAAAGGAAAUGUUUUGAGUUGUGAUCAUUAUUCUGAACGAAUCUAGCUUCCUAAUGAAUCAUUAAGAUGCUGGACUCAUUGAAUUAAUUUCAUUGUUUUCAGAGAACCUUGACAACUGCAUAGAUUAUUUUAAAGACAAUAAGCAUCUUUAAUGAUGCAGAUUUAUUAUUUGUGCGAAUGCAUUAAUAACAAUUCUAUUAAGCUGAUGCUUCAAUUUUGAAGUUAUU
rnacentral:tRNA from 1 species